rnacentral:lncRNA from 1 species
UUUGUGUUGUUAUUUGUGUUGAAGUUUUUCAAAUGCCGAUUAGAUAUUUUUAAUUUUAAAGUUACCAUAAGUGAUGGUUUGCUCCAGAAGUAUAUUUAUUGUAAAGACCAGAAAAGCAUGGUUACAUGUUUCUAAUUUUUGGAUGAUUGAUAAAUGCUUAAUUCUCAGAAGAAUUUCUCUACUUGCCUGUAGAUUAAAUUUUUAAUAAUGUAAAUUUGUCCAAGUAAAUUUGGGAAUUCAUUUUAACCACUUCAGUUAGUCUGUAUAUUACGCUCUUGAAAAAUUCUUAUAAAGUGAAAGAAAUUGUUGGUGAUAUGUUAUAAUGGUCUUAACUAUAUAGAAUUGAUCUAGAACUGGCAGUUGAGCUUUGUUGACCUGAUUCUAAAAAUAUUCUUUCCUUGCUAUAUAUUAUAACUUUUUAUAGUGUUAACAGUGCUUAACUUAAUAUACUUACAUGUGUUUUUUAUAUAUGUAUAAUUUUAUAUUUACUUAGAGAAAGUCUGCUACAAUUAAAUUUCCUUGGCUUAUUGAAAAUGUUUUGUUUUAUGCUUCACAAAUCUUUGGAUGUCAACUUUUAAAAUAUUUCAGGUAGGCGGUGUGUAGGAAAUAAUGAUAAUGGAAAUAUUCCAAAUGAAAAUCACAUUUUUAGAAAUUCAGUCUCUAAAAGACUUUUUAAAGGUUUUGAGAAAAAGAUAAUCUAAAUGACCUGUUAAAUUUAAGGAACACCAAGUCAAAUUUAAUUUGAAUGCAGGUCCACAUAUUUCACCAUGUAUGUUAGUGUUCUGUUAAAGACUACUAUGGUAUACCAUUUUGAAAACAUUAUUGUUAUAUAGACACAUGCCAGAAAGAUUUCUUGCCAUCAAAUUCAGUUUCUUUCAGUAAAUGGCACAGUUUUUAAAGGCAAUAACAUUUAAAGUGAUAUUUGUAGAGCUUGUUCUAAAGUUAUCAGAGUUUUUUGUUUUGUUUGGGUUUUUUUUGUUUAUUUGUUUUUUGCACUUUUUAGGGCCACACCUGAGGCAUGUGGAAGUUCCCAGGGCUAGGGGUCUAAUCAGAGCUUUUGCUGCCAGCCUACACCACAGCCAUGGCAACGCUAGACCCAAGCCGAGUAUGCAACAUACACCAGAGCUCAUGGCAAUGCUGGAUCCUUUAACCGACUGAGUGAGGCCAGGAAUUGAACCCCCAACCUCAUGGUUCCUAGUCGGAUUUGUUUGAGCUGCGCCACGACAGGAACUCCAGCAGUCUUGAACUACUGGCCAGGUAUCCUGUACAAUGUCCCUCAAUUUGGAUUUGUAUGAUUUUUUUUUUUUUUGCUUUUUAAGUCUGCACUCUCAGUAUAUGGAGGUUCCCAGGCUAGGGGUCCAGUCGGAGCUACAGCUGCUGGCCUCGCCAUAGCCACAGCAACGCAGGAUCCGAGCCACGUGUGCAAACUACGCCAUAGCUCACGGCAGUGACAGAUCCUUAACCCACUGGAGAGGCCAGGGAUUGAACCUGCAAUCUCAUGGUUCCUAGUCGGAUUUGUUUCUGCUGCGCCACGAUGGGAACUCCAGAUUUGUAUGAUUUUUUUGUUAGAAUAAACUAGGGUUAUUGGUUACCAGUUUUUGGAAAGAAUAUCAGAGAUGAAGUGCUCUACUGAUCACAUCAUAUGGGGAGUAUAAUAUCCAUUUGAUGUUACUGAUGAUGUUGACUUUUAUUACUUGGCCAGGAUAGUAUUUGCCAGGUUUUUCCACUGUAAAGUUAGUGUUUUUCCUUCCUAUACUGUAUACUUUGGAAGGAAAUCACUAUGUCUAGCCCACUCUCAAGGGACGUGGUGAGUAGUGGGGUGGGAAUUAAGUUCUAUCUCCUGCUGGGAGGGACUAUCUACAUAGUAUUAAAUGGAAUUCUUCUGUAAAGAAAUAAUUUCUCCUUCAUUAAUUCAGUCAUUCACAAAUACCUAUGUGUAUUUUUAUACUUUGAGUUAUAAUCCAGUAAGUUAAUUUUGUUGCUCAGAUUGCUUUAGCCUUGCCCUUUGGGAACUUUAUCCAGUUGGCUUCUGUAUUCUUACACAUUUCCGUUCUUUUGCCCUAGAAUCAACCAUUUCUCCAAAGAGCCCUUAUUCCUUGUAUUAAGAAAAGGGUAUUAAGAAACCAAGAUUUGAGUGCAGGGUUGCAACUCAGGUGUCACUACUUCUAGGCCGUCUCAGUGGACAGAGCAAACAGAGCUAGGUUAUAUCUAUAUGUGUUUAUAUGUACUAAACCAUAUGUAUCUAUAGUUGUUUCUAUAUUUGUGUGCAUAUUAAGGUAAACAUGAGUUAGUACUGUUGUCUUUACCUCUAAUGCUAUACUACAGGAUUCGUCCUAACUUUACUUUCUUGCUCCUCUGUAACUUCCUUCUCUAAUAGAGAGGAGCCUGACUCUCACCAUCUACCAUCCACCAUGCAUGCACUUGAACCUCAGUAUAUAAGUAAAGUAGUCUCAAAAAUUUUAUACUGUACUCCCAAAAGAAAUAAAUUUACCAACUUAAAUACAGUGUUUAUGUACAAUGUACAGUCCUUUUGUAUUUAACUUUACAGUUUCUAGUCAAGACACUAUUUUUCUUUUUUGUUCUUUUUAAAAAAUUUUGUUGGAGUACAGUUGACUUAGAAAGUUGUGUUAGUUUCAGGUAUACAGUAAAGUAAAUCAGUUUUACACACACAUAUAUAUAUAUAUAUAUAUAUCCAUUCCUUUUCAGAUUCUUCCCAACUAAGUUAAUACACAGUAUUAAGUAGAUUUCCCCAUACAGUAGGUCCUUGUUACUUACCUAUUUUAUGUAUAGUAGUAUGUAUAUGUUAAUCCCAACCUCCUAAUUUAUCUCCCCCACCCCUAACCCCACUCCCAGCACACAUUUCCCCUUUGGUGACCAUAAGUUUGAUUUUGAAAUCUUUGAGUCUUUUUCUAUUUUCUAAGUUCUUUUGUAUCCUUUUUCUUUUUUUUUAAAAUUAGAUUCCGUAUAUUAGUGAUCUUACGAUAUUUGUCUUUCUCUGGUCAGACCUACUUCCUUUAGUAUGAUAAUUUCUAGGUCCAUCUGUGUUGCUGUAAAUAGCAUUGGUUUGUUCUUUUUUUUGUGGCUGAGUAAUAUUCCAUUGUAUAUUUGUACCACAUCUUUAUCCAUUCUUCUGUUGAUGGACAUUUAGGUUGUUUGCAUGUCUCGGCUAUUAAGACACUGUUUUUCAAAGUUACUCAAGUUAGCUUUCUUUUCUCUUACCCCUUUCGGGGUGACUAUGUCAUAUUUGUAAUAAAGUUAGAUUUAUUUGUUGGAGUUUGCAUUCCAUCCUGAGAUCCUCAGUCAUAUGGGUAGAUAUUUUAAGCUUGAAUAUAUUACAUAUAUUCUCUGAUACGGUUUUAUGGGUUUUGACAAAUUCAUAGAAUCAUUUAUCCUUCACCCCAGUACUGUACAAGAUGAUUCUUUCACCCUAAAUUUCCCCUGUUUCUUAGAUCUCCUGAAUCAAAAUUUUCGUUUUAACAAGAUUCCCAAGGAGACAUGUAGGCAUAUUCAGUUUAUAUGCAUGUAUAUGAAGCUAUUCACGUGGAAUCAUUCACUAUCUUUCCCUGUUUUGAAAUUAUAAGUUAAGUUGAAAAAAGAUGAUUUUUAUAAUGGGAUAGCCAAGUUUAAAUGUAUAAUCAGGUAAGCGUAUAUACUCAAAUUCAUGGGUUUGCAUACAGUGAGGGGAAAGAAAAUGGAGUUGGGCAGAUUACUGGAGUGAAGUAAUGGCCUAUAUGGGAAGUUUCAUGGAGCUCUUAAACCUUUGUAAUCUUAACACUGAUGAGAAAUAAUGUGAUUUGGAAAGAAAAGAACAAAUGGUUUAUUCAGAAAGAUG